rnacentral:rRNA from 1 species
UACGGGGGGAGCAAGCGUUGUUCGGAUUUACUGGGCGUAAAGGGCGCGUAGGCGGCCACCGCAAGUCGACUGUGAAAUCUCCGGGCUUAACCCGGAAAGGUCAGCCGAUACUGCGGGGCUAGAGUGCAGAAGGGGCAACUGGAAUUCUCGGUGUAGCGGUGAAAUGCGUAGAUAUCGAGAGGAACACCUGCGGCGAAGGCGGGUUGCUGGGCUGACACGUGACGCUGAGGCGCGAAAGCCAGGGGAGCGAACGGG